UAUUAGCAGAGAGGGAAGGGCAGCUCUUUGUGUUUGGAGGGGAGCUCUUAUCCUGGGCUUUAAGCACGGUGUGCUGGUGGAUAGCUUUAGCAGGGGGAGAUGCUGGGCCGGGAUUCAGCAAGGAUAGAAGGCCACAGCCCUGUGGGAGCCUGAAGAGGAUUUGUUGUCAUGCCUGGACUCAGGAGACCUAAGUUUAUGCUCCUGCUCAGGGCAGGGGUCCCCUCUUCUUGGAUGGAGAGGCUCAAUUCACCUCUCCUUCUUGCAAAAGAAAGUCCCAAGUCAGAGUGGGAUGCAAGUGCUGCCUCCCAGAGGGUUGUGUUCCCAUGCUCAUGCUGGUGCCUGCUCUGCUACUUCAGCGCUAGUGUGAGAUCUCUGAUCUGAGCCCUAAUACAUAAAGCCUUGCACUGUUGUCUGAGCUGGCGAUCUUUCACCUGGAGCUUGAGACUAAACAGUCAUUUCUGCAGGUACUGCUGAGGGGUCAGACUGCACUGCAAGGCAAGGGUCACUACGGGUUUGGAGAGCAACAGAGCUCGGCAAUUUGUUCAAGACAAAAAGAAAUUGUUGGAAAGGAAGCACAUGUGUGGUUUGCUUGCAUUUUUUUCACCAUAGUGGGUUGUCUGCAUUGAGAUUAAUGCGUGUGCCAGGGUCUGUCAAGAAAGAACUGGUUUCUCUCACUUGGCCUGCUGGAAUCUCUAGUGAGUUCAAAGGUGAGAGAAAGAUGCGUUAUGGCCCUGCUGCCUUGGGAUUCAGGACUGGAUGUUCUAGGAGAAGAGAGAUUCUUGGCUGUCCCAUUGUUACCCUGCUUGACCUUGGGCAAGAUCCUUUCUCGCUGCCUGUGUCCCCCAGCCUGGAAGUAGAACAUGGGAAUUUCUGUUUGCGAGUUCAAAGUGCCAUUGGACACUGGUUUCUGCAGGGUCUAAUCAAAGAGUCAACCAAAAUCCAAGUUCCCCAGUUUGCUCCUGAGAUUCUGCUGCAACACCAGCACUAAGAAGAACUGUCUCCAGAAGUUCUGCCUUCCCUAAUCUUUUCACGUGAUGAAGCACAAGAGAUUGAUGUUGCAGUGAACCUACUGAUUUCUACAGGCAUUUGAAAAAAGCAGUAAAUACCUCAGUGAUUGCAGCCAUUCAUGAAUGAAAGCAGUCUAUACACGUGUUGAUUCACAACUGAAAGUGGCAAUAGAAGAGGUUAAUAACACUUAAAGUACUUUGUGUCUCCCCACAAUAGGUUUAACAUUUUUUUCUGAGAGAAAUCCUACUAUUUGAGAAGAGAGAAAAAAAAAAUCUACAGAACCGAAAUCCCAUCUAUAUGCUCCCAUUAAGUUUAAUGAAAGAACCGCUUGACAUAUUUUUAUGCUGAUGAAGACUAGAUGAAUUAAAGCAGUGUUCCCACUUCCUCCUUUCUGAUGCUAAUUGUCUAAUUCAAGCAUAUUUAUACAAAAACUCUUCUUAUAAAGCAGGGCCAUGGAAAAAAAAUCUCUGCAGCACCUACUGAAGCAAGGUGAACUCCUCAGCACACACUGAUUAUAUGUUUGCAGGUUCUCAAUAUAGAGCUCUGUUUUAUGAGCUGCCAGCUUUCUGCACUCCUACAGCCACAGCAGCCUGACAGAGUAAAACUGACAUGCAUCACACUUGGGUUGGAAGCAUAUUUUCAGCAAGUACUACAAAACCAAAAGAGUAAGAGAAAAUAUAAUGCCUACCCCACCACUCCACUCCCUCAAGUACAAUCUCUAAGAGCUAUGUGGCAAAACCUGUGUGCAGGGGCCUUAUUUGAGUAUUUGAAACACUCUUUGAGCCAGACAAUCAUUUGCCACUUAAUCCUUAAUGAAUACAGUUGCUAUUUUUGCAAGCACGUCACACUGGUGAGAAUGUUUGCUGAUGGAAUAUCAGUGGGAUGUGAUUUUAUUCUUAUGAAUAAAUAUAAUGUAGUGUCUGUGCACAUUUGUAUGCACACGAGCCCUCUCCAAACUGCCGGAGUGUGCUGUAUAUCCAAAGUCCUCAAGAGAGAAUAAACACCUGGGGGUAAAAGAGAUCCCAGCUCCUUGUUUGUGCUUGUUCAUAACAGAGCGAUGCACUUCUUGGGGCACCUCAACAACAGGAAACUCUCUGGAGCACCAGAUGUGGGUUGUUUGGCUUGACACGGGGUUUUCAACAGGACUUGGAGCAUUCAGGCACAACAAUGUCAUUGCAGCAGUCAAGAGAAAAGGCAAAUUUUCCUCAGCUGGUUUCUCUGAACUCCUUCUUUAGGGCAGGAAGAUUAAUUCCUUGCUCUGGGAGUCUAUGAUUAAGUGAAAAUAAGCUUCUGAACUACAGAGGAAAUCUCUAAAACAUGACUCAAGGCGUCCUGUACCUCUAAAAGCAGAAGACAAAGAGGAAUGAACUUUAGAACUGGCCAAUUUAAGAACAUUUCCAUGCCUAUUACUGCCUUGAGAAGCAGGGAUGGUCUGUCCACAUCCACCUGUGUCUUUGGCAGGAGAAGAUUGUUAGUGAGGAGAUAUCCUGGCACAGGGUUUUCAAGAAGACUUGGUUAACAUAAAAGUGUUAACACAAAAAUAGAUAUAAAUAAUCCUUUUAACCAGGUACAAGAUUGUUUCAUUGUGUAGUAAGGAAAAGUGGGGAAUCUGAUUUUCUCAACUGUCUUCUUCCCCCUCCAGGAGUCUCCUUGGAUGGGCCAGCCAUCUGGGACUCGAACUACUGGCAUCUCUAACUCACUUCACCCCAGAAAAAGCAAAGAAGAGUAAAUUUAGUACCACAAACUAAUCCCAGGAAGAUGCUGUGAGAUUUAUUUGAGGAUUUAAAAUUCCCUGAAAUCAUAAGAUGAAAGGGAUUUUGAAAAUGCAAAUAGACAAAAUAUUUUUUCCCUCAGUCACAUUGAACUAAGCUAUUUAAAAGCCAAAUAAGACAGGCAGGAAACUUUCAUUUUGAAUUUGUUUGUGGAGCAACCAUUAAACGCUUUAGUUUUUUAAGUCCUGUAUUUUCUGAAGAAACAAUGGACCAUUUCUUUAUAGGUGCUGGUAAAAUCUGUUACAAUAGCCUCUUGAAGGGCUGCUAGUAAAACCAUUUAAUUACAUGGCACUUAAGAAUGUCUGAGACUGGUGAGAUUUUCCCAUUAGAGAAGAGAGGUAAUUCAUUCAUCUAUUAUUCUAGGAGAGGUAGAAACUAGACCUUUCUGUUUAAAUCUAGUUUUUAUUAGUGUUAAAAGACUCAGAGGAGGAAUUCUACUGCGUGUCUAAAGGCGCUGGCUAGAGGCACAGUUUUGAAGGAGCACUGUCAAAUCGAAAAUUACAUUUUCUCUGAGAUGCCGCACCCCGACUGCUGUCAUAACACCUGAAAUCACCAUAAGUGGAAGAGAUGAGGUGAAAAUUAAUGCCUCUCUCCCACCAUUUUGCUUAUUUUUGUGUGUUUGCCAGCUCCUCAGGGGAGCAGGAC